rnacentral:misc_RNA from 1 species
GAUAGGAUCAUUAAUGUGAAUGUUUUGCAAUUUUUGUUGCAAAAUGUAUUGAUGUGAAUCGCCGAACUUGAUUUUGUGAGAAUGUGAGUAGGGAUAAGAGGGGGAAUGAAAGAGAUGAGAGAGGUAUGAGAGAGGAGUAAGAGUUUGGGUGUGAGUGGUUAUGGGUGAUGAGUAUGAUAUGGAGGUUGAAUGGAUUAUCUGAGAUGGAUGUCAAGUUUGUCAUAAUUUAUUGAUGGGCUUUUUAUCUAUGUCGUUUUUCUAUUAUGUUCCGAUCUUUUAUUUUAUCUUUUUCUAUCUUUUUCUAUCUUUUCCUUUCCUGCCUUGCUUUUCUUGCAUUGCAUUGCUUUUCUUUUCACAUCAAGUAUCGGUCAAUUUAACCAUAAAAGUUUAAAUCUGAAAUUUAAAACUGUCAGCAAGGGAUCAUUUGGCUCUCGUAUCGAUGAAGAACGCAGCGAGGUGCGAAAUCUGGCGCGAUACGCACAACCUGUGAGACGUCGAGUUUUUGAACGCAAAAUGCACCCACGGGGUAACCCGUGGGUGUGUCUGCCUGGGUGUGUGUUAUACCAUUGCUUUUGUUUGACUUCAACUUUGAUAACUGCUUGCAUUGUGCAUUUUGCAUUUUGCAUUUUGCCAGUUGCUUGUUGCUAGUUGUAGUUGCUGUUGUGUUAUUUAUUUUUCACACGCAGCUUCUUUUAUCUCCAAUUGCAUUUUUGCAAAUAUGUACGUAUAUGUGUAUAUGUGUAUGUAUGUAUUUGUGUGUGUGCGCUGUGUUGUCUCAUGUUCGCAUGGGUAUUAGCAGUGUUAAUUUCAUAGUGUUUUGUAAUGAAGAAUUUACUGCUGCGUUGAAUAAAUUCAUGUAUCAUCAUAUGCAAAGCUGAUCCAUCAGAUCAGAAACUGUGGUUUCUUGAUUUUGAUAUGAUCGAUCAAAGAAAGAGAGAGUGUUGAAAUUGUCGAGUGGUGUGGUGUGUGGAUGGUGUUUGAUAUAUUAUAUCCAGCAUCCUAACAUAACAUAACACACCUCAACUCAAUUAAUUCACCUCAAUCUCAUUCAAAUUUUAAUGCCUCAGGUCAGACAAGAUCACCCGCUAAACUUAAGCAUAUCACUAAGCGGAGGAAAAGAAACUAACAAGGAUUCCCUCAGUAACUGCGAGUGAAUCGGGAACAGUCCAAACUUGUAAUCUUUGCCAAGCUGGCAACGAGUUGUAGUUUGAAGCCUAGAUGUGCGCAAUGCGCACACAAACAUACCCAACUGGCAAUGAGAAGCCGGCCCCGGAAGGUGUAAGCCCUGUACGGUAUGUUGUAUCCAAAUUGUGUGCGCUGCCUGCAUUAGGCAAAGAGUCGGGUUGUUUGAGAUUGCAGUCCAAAGUGGGUGGUAAACUCCAUCUAAGGCUAAAUAUUGGCGAGAGACCGAUAGCGAACAAGUACCGCGAGGGAAAAUUGAAAAGAACUUUGAAAAGAGGGUCAAAAGUGCGUGAAAUUGCUGACAGGGAAGCGAUUAGGCCGGCAGUGCCGGGUGUGUGGCGUGCGUGUCAAGAUUUGGUUGGUUGGCCUAUGGCCAAUUAAUUAAUUUUACCGCUUGCUCUACGUUCAUUCGGACAGCCACGUAUUUUGGAUGACUGAUUCAUUUUAUUUUCAGAUUCGUCCAAAAUAUGUAUAGUGCCGCCCGCAAUAUGGCGGCAUGCAUGGCUGAGCCAGCCUAAACGACCCGUCUUGAAACACGGACCAAGGAGUCUAUCAAGUGUGCGAGUGCAACAGUUUGACACUGAUCCGCUCAGCGAAAGCAAACACCACACACGUGUUCAUCGGUACAUGCCGUAUCGUCCGAGUGCUAGGCCUUUUGGCCAAACGCAUCGGGACAGAGCACACUUGAUGGGACCCGAAAGAUGGUGAACUAUGCCUGGGUAGGGUGAAGUCAGGGGAAAUCCUGAUGGAGGCUCGCAGCGAUUCUGACGUGCAAAUCGAUCGUCAAACCUGGGUAUAGGGGCGAAAGACCAAUCGAACCAUCUAGUAGCUGGUUCCACU